rnacentral:lncRNA from 1 species
UGACCUCUCCCAGGUGGGCACAGAACUCCCAGGCUCAGGACUCACCGUGGACUCCAGGGCUCCGCAGGCAUUCAGGGGAAAGGGGUGGGGAUGCAGGAAGGAGGCUCAGCCCAGAGGGCGGGGCCAAGAUCCUGAUUGGAGGAAAUCAAGGUGAGCGCGCUGCUACAAACUGGGCCCCUAUUUCUAGUUGGUGGCCAAACAUUUUGCCUGGGGCUGGGCCUGGGGCUGGGCCCGGGGCUGGGCCCGGGGCUGGGCCUGGGGCUUUGCCCGGGGCUGGGUCUAGGGCUGGGUCCAGGGCUGGGCCGCGGACUGGGCCUCGGACUGGGCCUCGGACUGGGCCUCGGACUGGGCCUCGGACUUGGCCUCGGAUUGGGCCGAGGAUUGGGCAGAGGCACGGGCCUACUGAUGGGCCUCCUGCUCGUGCCAGGUCGCCGCCGAGGUCUGCUUUGGCGGUUUCCACAUUCACGCAUCAGCCCGUUCACUGCGUCCGGGAGAAAACAGCUGGCGAGGCUCGGUUCCCCCCCACUCUCCGCCGGGAAGAGCAUGGCUUCGGGCGGCCCUGCGCAGAGAACGCAGAUGUGGACCCUCGGAAAGAAGAUUCGCACAGCCCUUAUCACCACCAUCGAUGUCUCCAUUAGGAAAUGAGCAUCAUACACAGGCUGAUUUUGCUCAGUGAGGUACUGUACCUCCUGUGCCUCAGAGAAUCUCAGUAAGUAUCUGUUCUCAAAUGGAGAACAGCCUGUAAGUAUUCAAUCUCUGCCCCUGGGGUCCUAACCAAGCCGAGUUCACUGGAUUCCCAGUGCCUGACUCAGUGCCUUGGUGGUGAAUAUUAAGCAUCACUAAAUAUUUCUGCAACUAAAAAAACAGCAGAAAAUGUUGUUAUGGCUUGUAUUUUGAUGUCCUCCAAAGCCUCAUGUGGUCAUAGG